GAUCGGCGAUCGGUGAGUAUUACGUCCCUGCCCUUUGUACACACCGCCCGUCGCUACUGCCGAUUGAAUGGCUUAGUGAGACCUUCGGAUCGGUAUUCAAAAGUUGGCAACAACAUUUGUUUGCUGAAAAGUUGUUCAAACUUGGUCAUUUAGAGGAAGUAAAAGUCGUAACAAGGUUUCCGUAGGUAAACCUGCGGAAGGAUCAUUA
rnacentral:rRNA from 1 species